rnacentral:rRNA from 1 species
GACGAACGCUGGCGGCGUGCCUAAUGCAUGCAAGUCGCACGCGCGGAGCUUGCUCCGUGAGUGGCGCACGGCUGAGGAUCACGUGGGAACAUGCCUCCUUGUGGGGGACAACAGCGCGAAAGCGCUGCUAAUCCCGCAUACGCUCGGCAACGAGGAAAGCUUGUAAAAGCGCAGGGAGAGUGGCCCGCGGCCCAUCAGGUGGUGGUGGGGUAAUGGCCUACCAAGCCGAUGACGGGUAGCUGGCCUGUGAGGACAGCCAGCCAGACUGGGACUGAGACACGGCCCAGACUCCUACGGGAGGCAGCAGCAAGGAAUUUUCGUCAAUGGGCGCAAGCCUGAACGAG